AUACUCAGGAGAAUACAACACGCUUAGCAGACAUGUUCCUUGCAUCUCAUACUCAGAACACCUGUCCCCACUUCUCUGCUGUCCUUAUGGUAUCUCUUUCCAUUACACCUUCAGAUAUGUGUGUCUUCUACAUUCUAACCUGGUUCCUUUUUUAAUCUUAUAAAUCCAGCAUCAGUUGAACAGGGAGGGUCCCAGAUAAUCCAAUACGGAUGAGGAGUCCCACAGCACCAACACCCUGCAGGGCACAGUUCGGGGUAGGUUGACACGAGGGAGAAUCUGACCUGCUAUUAUUCUGCAAACAGAGGCUGCUCAACACCUCGCCCUGGCCUUGAGGAUCAUCCCCUCGCAAUGUGAGUCCAGUCAAAUCAAUUCUCUGAUUUCCCCCACCCUGGAGAGAUGGAACUGUGGGCCAUGGGGCCCCCA